UACGGAGGGUCCGAGCGUUAUCCGGAAUCAUUGGGUUUAAAGGGUCCGUAGGCGGGCCAUUAAGUCAGCGGUGAAAUCCUGCAGCUCAACUGCAGGCGUGCCGUUGAUACUGGUGGUCUUGAAUCGCCGUGAAGUGGCUAGAAUAUGUGGUGUAGCGGUGAAAUGCAUAGAUAUCACAUAGAAUACCGAUUGCGAAGGCAGGUCACUAACGGCGCAUUGACGCUGAUGGACGAAAGCGUGGGGAGCGAACGGG
rnacentral:rRNA from 1 species